UUGCUACGUUCGGCGCACAAUAUACUUUUCCUCAAAGAAAGAAAAAAAAAAAAGGGAAAACCCUAAUCGGAGAUCUUCCAAUCGCGUUGAGCUAUGCAGCAACCUCAGGAGUCGACGACGGCAGCCGAUGAGAUUCGCUCCUUACGGGUCGACGGCUUGAGUCCGAGGAUGGGUGAGAUGUAUCUCUACAACUGCUUCAGUGACUGCGCAGAGGUUUUGGCUGCAACAGUUUUGCGGAAAGUGCAAACCGGAUGGCAGGAAGAUCAUGGUUUUGUCGAGUUUGCUUCUCACAGCGUGGCUGAGUUUGUCUUGAGCUCCUACAAUGGUGAGCUCAUGCCCAACUACAAUAACCGGAGAUUUUGCCUGAGCUGGGACACUGAUGGUUACGGUACAAGGUGGCGCUGGGAUCCUGUUUACCAGCAAUGGUCUUUCUUUGGUUAUGAUGAGCACAGUGAUAUGUUGCAUGCCAAGACAGUGAUCGAGUUGUACAAGGACUGCAUACCUGUUGUUACUGAAAAGCCAUCUGGUAGUGCUCAGCAAUAUUCGCAAGAACCAGCUAGUUCAGACAAAGUGGAAUGGUUAUAGUCGUGCUGGCUCUAUGGAUAGUUACAAGCGUUUGAAGCAUGCACAUGUGGAUCUAUGGAAUGGUGGUAAUGGUGCUGGGUUUAUGUUUAUGCAGAACAACUUGAUGCGUCCACAUCACCUUAACCUGUAUCAUGGAGGACAGGCUGGAUAUGUAAAUUACCAGCAGCAUGGUCUAUACCCGCAGCCUUGUGCUUAUCAGCUGCCUUAUCAGCAACAUCAGACACAGUGGACUGUUGGCAGUGAUGUGCGUCCACUUGGGCAGCUCACCCAAGUUCCUAACCUGUAGGCUGGAUAUGUAAAUUACCAGCAGCAUGGUCUCUACCCACAGGAGAAGAAGCUGUAUUUAUGUUUCGAUGAGUGCAAUGACCUGACCAAUUGUUGUUAUGUUCUCCGCACCAUAAAUUUGUCCGAGUUACUUGCAUGCUCCUGUGAGUUUAGCAGCGAUACUGAAGAAAUAACCAAGUGCAGCUAUUGCACCUCCAAAGUCAAACCGGAAUAUCGGUUGCGCCAGCGGGCUUGGCUCUUCGCCAGCGAGGAAAAUCCUUUCAGCUGCGGUAGGGUGGAGGUGAUAAUUCCUUCGUGUAUGGGUUGCUGUGCCUCCGGCUCCCAAAUCUUCUUCGCUGGUGGCUUAGCUCCACUACCACUUAGGGAAAGACAAUUUCUGCCAAGUGGAGAUGUCUAUAGUUUUGAACCCAAGUCUAUGUUUUGGAAAAAGCAUGAUUGGAGUUUCCUGAAGGGGAAACCAGACCCCUUGCUUUUUGAGAUGAACGGAAAUCUCUAUUGUCUCGCAGGUAGUCCCCUAGGUUUUUCUCUUGAUCGUCCCACUUUCGAGGUAUACUAUAGCAGUUCUGGUGAAUGUGAGGCUUUGCCGUAUCCUCCAUUUUACCUACUGGAACUAGAUCGCACCAAAAACUACAGCGGCCCUUUGGCUGGUCGUGAAUUGUGUUAUGCUAUUGUUGGUACCAAGAUCUUGAUCUCGAGCAGGCACAACAAUGAAUCAAUCCCUAACUUUCCCAUUAUGUGUUUUGAUGUGAAUGAGAAGGAAAAGAAAUGGAGAGAGAUGACUUCCUUGUUCGAUGGUAAGCCGUUUCCCUUCAUCAGCAGGGCGGCUUUGGUCUUGGACUUGAACGAUGGUACACAUGAUAAGGUCAUGUUUUCCAUUCGUGAAUAUCACGAGAUAUAUGUCUCCCGAUUAGUUGUGAAUGAUGAUGGUAGUAUAUACAACUCUUAGGACUCUCCUCUGUUGUUUUUUAACUGGUUCUAUACCUUCUUUGGUGACCUUUGUCCUUUACAUUCAAAGUCAUACAGCUUUGUCGAUCUAGGAAAUCAAAAAGUUGGUUUUGUUGUGUGCGGGAACAUGGUUACAAUGGCAAGAGAUGAUACACCUUCUCUCCGGAAGGUGCGUGUUGUUCUGUUAGUAAUUGACUAUGAAGUGACAAAAUCAAGAUAUGUAUGGGGAAAGCUCCUGGCCAUGGCCACUCGCACCUUUGAAUACAAUUGCUAUUCCGCCCGCCUCCAAUCCGUCGACUUGAUUGGUAGCUUUGUGUUCUAACUCACUCCAACCAUUGGUAAUUCCUCCUCUCUCUUAAGUAUUAAUGUUAGAGUGAGUGCUACAUCAAACCAAGUAUUACACUUGUUAAUAGUAGACAUGGUUGGCCUUAUAGCUCUACUGCGCUGUCUGUUAUGAGUUUGGAAAGAAAUAUGGAAAGAUCAUUCGGUUUAUUGCUUUUGUUGCAUUUGGUUUGUACGUUGUUUCACUAGGGUUGAAGUUUGAUCGAUGGCCCCACGCCAUUUUAAUCAAGGUCUUGUGGUGCGGCAGAGGAGAAUCACAGGUUCCUACUUAUGAGAGUUUCCUUGUGAAAUGGAAAUUUUGGGCUGAUACUAUGGGCCUGUAAUUUUUACUUUUGUAAGACCACUUAUCAAUGCAGUGUAUAUCUGUUCCUUCUAACUUAAUCUUCAUCUGUGAAGAUUUGGUUUUUAAAUCUGACUGUCCAAACAACUUUGUUUGUAACAGGAAAUUUGGAUAAAUGACCAUUCAAGUUGAUUUUUUAUUAUUAAAACU